UGCUCAAAGCCUAGAAGGACAUGGCCAGA
rnacentral:piRNA from 1 species